AUGCUCACUUUGGCAACAUAGAUACUAAAAUUGGAACGAUACAGAGACAAGCAUGGCCCCUGAGCAAGGAUGACAUGCAAAUUCGUGAAGCAUUCCAUAUUUCU
ensembl:snRNA U6 U6 spliceosomal RNA